rnacentral:rRNA from 1 species
AACGAACGCUGGCGGCAGGCUUAACACAUGCAAGUCGAACGCAUCCUUCGGGGUGAGUGGCAGACGGGUGAGUAACGCGUGGGAACGUGCCCUUCAGUUCGGGAUAACCAGGGGAAACUUGGGCUAAUACCGGAUACGUGCGAGAGCAGAAAGAUUUAUCGCUGAAGGAUCGGCCCGCGUCUGAUUAGCUAGUUGGUGGGGUAAUGGCCCACCAAGGCGACGAUCAGUAGCUGGUCUGAGAGGAUGAUCAGCCACAUUGGGACUGAGACACGGCCCAAACUCCUACGGGAGGCAGCAGUGGGGAAUAUUGGACAAUGGGCGCAAGCCUGAUCCAGCCAUGCCGCGUGAGUGAUGAAGGCCUUAGGGUUGUAAAGCUCUUUCGUCCGGGACGAUAAUGACGGUACCGGAAGAAGAAGCCCCGGCUAACUUCGUGCCAGCCGCCGCGGUAA